rnacentral:rRNA from 1 species
GUCUUCUUGAUUUUAUUUAUAAGAAGUCGGGCCUGCCCAGUGACAAAAAAGUUUAACGGCCGCGGUAUUUUGACCGUGCGAAGGUAGCGUAAUCAUUUGCUCUAUAAUUGAGGGCUUGUAUGAAUGGUUUGACGAGAGCUUAACUGUCUCUAUAGGAUUUAAUAGAAUUUGACUUUUGGGUAAAAAGGCUCAUAUAGAAUUAAAAGACGAGAAGACCCUAUUGAGCUUAUGAUAAUUUUGGGUAAUAUAUGAUUUAAAUAUAUCUUUAAUUGGGGCAAUUAAGGAACAAAAGAAGUUUCCUUUAAAAAGAUUUAUUUGCAGAUCUUGAUCCAAGAAUUGUGUUGAUCAAAGGACAAAGUUACCAUAGGGAUAACAGCGUUAUCUUUCUUGAGAGUUCUUAUCGAAAGGAGGGAUUGCGACCUCGAUGUUGGACUAGAGUAUCCUAAAGAUGCAGAAG